GGUGCGAGACAUGCUUUCUCUCAUAGAUUGUCUGAACGAAGGCGAGGUGGGGCGCCGGUCACCUUCCCCAUCGACGCGUGCGGCCGCCGCCUGACGCUCUACCAGCAGUUGUCGUCCUUCACGGACACGUCGGGGGUCACGGGCGCCGUGGUGUGAGACAGCGGCGUCGUGCUCGCCAAGUUCCUCAAACACGCGGCCGACAGCGGCCUGCUAUUGUGUGCGGCGCGCGCGGUGGACCUCGGCGUUGGGUGCCGGCUCGUGGCCGUCGUGGCGGCGCUGCUCGGAGCGCGCGUCGUGGCCACCGACCUGCCCGACCGCGUCCGGCUGCUCCGGAAGAACCUCGAGGAGAACGUCGGUGGUGGGGAUGGCGGGUCGGCAACGGUGGCGGAGCUAGUGUGGGGCGACGAGUACGAGCUCGACCCCGAGCUGGAGCUCGUGCUGGGGUCGAACGUGGUGUACAGCGAGGAGGUCGUCGGUGACCUGCUAGCCACGCUCACUCGGCUGGUGGGGCCGGGCACCAGCGUGCUGCUCGCCGGCGAGCUCCGCAACGGUGCCAUGGUGGAGUGCUUCUUGGAGGCGGCCAUGGGGGAGUUCGAGAUCGAGUGCGUGGAGCAGGCGCAGUGGCACCCCGACUUCCGCACCAACCACGUCGUCAUCUUCAUCCUCCUCAAGAUUCAAGAAGACACCGCCGCCGCUCCCUGUCUCACUGCCAUAGCUGCUCUGCAGAAGUAA
rnacentral:rRNA from 1 species